CUAGCAAGCUUAAGCCGUAAGGCGGAGGCGCAGGGAAACCGAGUCUGAAUAGGGCGACUGAGUUAGACGGAUGAGACCCGAAAGCAAGUGAUCUAGCCAUGACCAGGUUGAAGGUGCGGUAACACGCACUGGAGGACCGAACCCACGCCUGUUGAAAAAGUCGGGGAUGAGUUGUGGCUAGGGGUGAAAGGCCAAUCAAACUUGCAGAUAGCUGGUUCUCUGCGAAAGCUAUUUAGGUAGCGCCUCGUGUAUCACCAUCGGGGGUAGAGCACUGGAUGGGCUAGGGGGCUUCACCGCUUACCAAACCUAACCAAACUCCGAAUACCAAAGAGUGCUGAGCACGGGAGACACACGGCGGGUGCUAACGUCCGUCGUGAAGAGGGAUAAAAACCCUGACCUACAGCUAAGGCCCCCAAUUCAUGGCUAAGUUGGAAAGGAUGUGAGGUUCCCAAAACAAUCAGGAUGUUGGCUUAGAAGCAGCCAUCAUUUAAAGAAAGCGUAACAGCUCACUGAUCUAAAUAAGGAACUUUGCGCCGAAGAUGUAACGGGGAUUAAGCCAUGAGCCGAAGCUUAGGAUUCACCGCAAGGUGAAUGGUAGCAGAGUGUUCUGUAUGCCUGCGAAGGGUGAGCGUGAGCGAGCCUGGAGGUAUCAGAAGUAAGAAUGCUGACAUGAGUAGCGAUAAAGAGGGUGAGAGACCCUCUCGCCGUAAGUCCAAGGGUUCCUGCGUCAAGUUAAUCUGCGCAGGGUUAGCCGGCCCCUAAGGCAAGGCCGAAAGGCGUAGUCGAUGGGAAUGCGGUAAAUAUUCCGCAGCCUGUGGGAAGUGACGGAUCUCGUAACUUGUUCGACCUUACUGGAUUGGUCGGGCCGGGAAGUGGUCCCAGGAAAUAGCUCCAGCUUAUAGCCCGUACCCGAAACCGACACAGGUGGACUGGCAGAGUAUGCUAAGGCGCUUGAGAGAACUGUAUUGAAGGAACUAGGCAAAUUGCCCUCGUAACUUCGGAAGAAGAGGGCCCGAUUCUUACGCAAGUAGGAGUCGGGGGCACAUAGCAGGGGGUGGCGACUGUUUACUAAAAACACAGGGCGCUGCGAAAUCCAAAGAUGACGUAUAGCGUCUGACGCCUGCCCGGUGCUGGAAGGUUAAGAGGAGAUGUGAAAGCGUUGAAUCGAAGCCCCAGUAAACGGCGGCCGUAACUAUAACGGUCCUAAGGUAGCGAAAUUCCUUGUCGGGU
rnacentral:rRNA from 1 species